rnacentral:rRNA from 1 species
UACAGAGGUCCCAAGCGUUGUUCGGAUUCAUUGGGCGUAAAGGGUGCGUAGGCGGCGCGGUAAGUCGGGUGUGAAAUCUCGGAGCUUAACUCCGAAACUGCAUUCGAUACUGCUGUGCUUGAGGACUGGAGAGGAGACUGGAAUUUACGGUGUAGCGGUGAAAUGCGUAGAUAUCGUAAGGAAGACCAGUGGCGAAGGCGGGUCUCUGGGCAACAACUGACGCUGAGGAGCGAAAGCGUGGGGAGCAAACAGG